UACGUAGGUGACCAGCGUUGUCCGGAUUUACUGGGCGUAAAGAGCGCGCAGGCGGUCGUUCAAGUCGAGUGUGAAAGCCCCCGGCUCAACUGGGGAGGGUCACUCGAUACUGAUCGACUUGAAGGCAGGAGAGGGAAGCCGGAAUUCCCGGUGUAGUGGUGAAAUGCGUAGAUAUCGGGAGGAACACCAGUGGCGAAGGCGGCUUCCUGGCCUGUUCUUGACGCUGA
rnacentral:rRNA from 1 species